AGACCGAGCUGGAGCGUGGAUCGCCCCCACAUGGCUGAUGGUGGCUGAUCUGGCCGAGACAAAGCAGUCGACUGACCCCGGCUGCAGCGGCGGGAGCCGACAGAGUCAGGGCAGCCGGGGAUGGGACAGAUGGGACUCUCUUUCGGUGCGGUCAGCGCGGUAACCACGGUGCACACGGCAGGACAGACCCCCACCCCCUGCACGAACUGCGGAGCGGCCGCGGGCCGGGCGGCCGGGACUGAGGCAGACGGACUGUGCCGGAGCCGGCACAGGGGCUGGGAGGGCUGGUGCGAACGAGUGGGGGAACGAACGGGAAUGGAUGAGGAUUUGCCAUUGUCAAGACCUAGGAGGCUGCGAGGAAGAGGAAGAUGCCCCAGGACACUGAUGCAGCCAGAGCAGGAGCUGAGCAUGGAGAGCAGGGAGGACCGUGGCAGAACCUGGUGGAAGAGGCCGUUCUGAGCGGCUCCACGGCACAGGAAGCCAAGGGGGAGGAAAAGCCCCGGGGAUGCUGCACAAGGAGGGGCUGCAAACUCAGCUGGCAGGGAUCUGACGGGGAAAGAGCCAGCCUGGGCCGGGAAGGCGGCCGGAGAUGGAGCUAGAGCUCGGAGCUGGUGCUCCAUGAGCAGCUCCAUGAUGGGGAGAAGCCCCACACAUUCAGGGAGUGUGGGAAGAGCUUCAGGAGGAACUGCAACCUGAUCAGGCACCAGAGGACCCACACUGGGGAAUGGCCCUACACGUGUGGGGAGUGUGGGAAGAGCUUCAGCAAGAGCUCCACCCUGAUCACGCACCAGAGGACCCACACUGGGGAGAGGCCCUACGAGUGUGAUAAAUGCAGGAAGAGGUUUGUGACCAGCUCCCAUCUCGUCCGGCACUAUCAGAGUCACACAGAGGAGAGGCCCUUCCAAUGUCCCACCUGUGGGAAGGGAUUCCAACGCAAUUCCCACCUCAUCAUCCACCGGCGCAUCCACACUGGGGAGAAGCCCUACGAGUGUGAUAAAUGCAGGAAGAGGUUUAAGACCAGCUCCAGUCUCCUCCUGCACUAUCGGAUUCACACAGAGGAGAGGCCCUUCCGCUGCCCCGACUGUGGGAAAGGAUUCAAGCACAACUCCAUCCUUGUCAAGCACCGUCGCAUCCAUACUGGGGAGAGGCCCUACGAGUGUCCCCAGUGUGGGAAGAGCUUCUCCACGAGCUCUGCCUUGAACCAACACCAAUGAAGACACCAGUAAGGGAAGCCCUGCGAGUGCCCCGAGUGCCGGACGAGCUUUGUGCGCUGCUCCCGCUCCAUCCCCCACUGGAGGAGGCACUUUGGGCACAGCCCUGGUGACCCACAUUCCCUGUGAUCCAUUUUGGGAACACACCUGUCUGCUUCUCCUAUUGGUUUGGCCUUAAUUUUCUUCUGCUUCAUCUUCAGCCCUUAAAAAGUGCCAAAAUAGAGUUAAAUGAAUGAAAUUGAUCAAAGAUAUCUAAAGUCCCACCAUUUCACAGGUUUUUGAGGGGGAAUUUAGGAUUUGGGGACACAUUCUGUGUGGAGUGCCCCUGUUGCUAAGAGGCAGGAAUUUGAUCUCCCCCUUCUUGUGUUGCUAAGAACUCUUCCCCCUACCCAAACCUGAAGUCCACCCCUGUGAUAUCCUAUAAAAACCCCACGGCCCUGCCUUUGCCCUGUCUUUUGGGAGUCAGAAAUGGAUUCUGGAGCUUUCUGGAACCCAGACCCAUCUCAUUUAUUCCUGGCAGUGGCAGCUGCAGCCUCCCUGGACACCAUGAACUCUGGAGAAUGGAGGCAGCCAGUGAGGACAGGUCCUGGAUUGCAAGAUCAGUAUGUGUUCUGUUUGCCAUCUGUCAGAGGUGGGGCAGUUAUCUUCUGUUUAUUGGGCAGUUUAUCUCUUCCACAACCAAUCCUUUCUCCAACAGAUAUCUUCUGAUAAUGGAUGGGCCAUAAAUUAUUAAUUAUCUGCUGUUAAUGGGCCAUUGAGUGUCCCUGCAUGGCUGAUAGAAUGACAUUAUGCCAUUGGGUGAUGCUCCACCCAGAAGAGGAGCCAAGCAUUCCUACCUGGAUAGAAUCUGAGGUUUGGAACACCACAGCAACCUUUUCCCACUGGAUUGCCAGAGGAUCAGCCUUUUUCCACUGGAUUGCCAAAGGAUCAGCCUUCUUCCACUGGAUUCUCAGAGGAGCAGCUGUCUUCUCCAUUGGAUUCCCAGAGGAAGACCAGACCGAUCUGCAGCACCCCUGGACCUUCAGAGGAAAACUCCACCCUUCUCCAGGGUUCCUGCUCCAACAGAACCAUCCCUGGCACUGCAGGAGGGCUGCAGCCACCAUGGAAUGGGACUGUGCCACCACCCUGACCCACAGCGUGUCAGGUCCUGUUCUGACUCUGUCAGUGGCUUUUUUUUCUUUGUACUACUGCAUUUGUAUUUUUAAUUUUUCCUAAAAGAGGAACUGUUAUUCCUGCUCCCAUGUCUUUGCCUGAGAGCUCCUUAAUUUCAAAAUUAUAGCAAUUCAGAGGGAGGGGGUUUGCAUUUUCCAUUCCGGGGGAGGCUCCUGCUUUCCUUAGCAGAAACCUGGCUUUUCAA